rnacentral:rRNA from 1 species
ACAUCCAGCGAACUUGGCAGAGAUGCCUUGGUGCCUUCGGGGAACGCUGAGACAGGUGCUGCAUGGCUGUCGUCAGCUCGUGUUGUGAAAUGUUGGGUUAAGUCCCGNAACGAGCGCAACCCUUAUCCUUUGUUGCCAGCGAUUCGGUCGGGAACUCAAAGGAGACUGCCGGUGAUAAACCGGAGGAAGGUGGGGAUGACGUCAAGUCAUCAUGGCCCUUACGAGUAGGGCUACACACGUGCUACAAUGGCGCAUACAAAGAGAAGCGACCUCGCGAGAGCAAGCGGACCUCAUAAAGUGCGUCGUAGUCCGGAUCGGAGUCUGCAACUCGACUCCGUGAAGUCGGAAUCGCUAGUAAUCGUGGAUCAGAAUGCCACGGUGAAUACGUUCCCGGGCCUUGUACACACCGCCCGUCACACCAUGGGAGUGGGUUGCAAAAGAAGUAGGUAGCUUAACCUUCGGGAGGGCGCUUACCACUUUGUGAUUCAUGACUGGGGUGAAGUCGUAACAAGGUAAGCGUAGCGAG